rnacentral:rRNA from 1 species
CUACGGACGCUGCAGUGGGGAAUAUUGGGCAAUGGGCGAAAGCCUGACCCAGCAACGCCGCGUGAAGGAAGAAGGUUUUCGGAUCGUAAACUUCUAUCCCGGGUGAAGAUAAUGACGGUAGCCCGGAAGGAAGCCCCGGCUAACUACGUGCCAGCAGCCGCGGUAAUACGUAGGGGGCAAGCGUUGUCCGGAAUGAUUGGGCGUAAAGGGCGCGUAGGCGGCCAUGUAAGUCCGAUGUGAAAGUCCUGCUUUUAAGGUGGGAAUUGCAUUGGAAACUGUGUGGCUUGAGUGCAGGAGAGGUAAGCGGAAUUCCCGGUGUAGCGGUGAAAUGCGUAGAGAUCGGGAGGAACACCAGUGGCGAAGGCGGCUUACUGGACUGUAACUGACGCUGAGGCGCGAAGGCGUGGGGAGCAAACAGGAUUAGAUACCCCUGUAGUC